rnacentral:rRNA from 1 species
AACGUAGGUCCCGAGCGUUAUCCGGAUUUACUGGGCGUAAAGCGCGUUCAGGCGGCCGCGCAAGUCGGGCAUGAAAUCUCUCGGCUCAACCGGGAGGGGUUGUCCGAUACUGUGCGGCUGGAGGGCAGUAGAGGGUGGUGGAAUUCCGGGUGUAGUGGUGAAAUGCGUAGAGAUCCGGAGGAACACCAGUGGCGCAAGCGGCCACCUGGACUGUACCUGACGCUGCAACGCGAAAGCUAGGGGAGCGAAC